AGGACAAAACCAAUCGGGCUUGCCCGCUAUUUGGUGAAUCUGAAUAACUAUGCCGAUCGCACAGUCCUCGAACUGGCGACGUAUCUUUCAAAUGUCUGCCUUAUCAACUUUCGAUGGUAGUUUACACGGCUACCAUGGUUUUAACGGGUAACGGAGAAUUAGGGUUCGACUCCGGAGAGGGAGCCUGAGAAACGGCUACCACAUCCAAGGA
rnacentral:rRNA from 2 species